ACGGAGGGGGCGAGCGUUGUCCGAAUUUAUUGGGCGUAAAGCGCGUGUAGGCGGACUUUUAAGCCUGAGGUGAAAGGUUGGGGCUCAACCCCACACAGUGCCUUGGGAACUGUAAGUCUGGAGGCAGGCAGAGGAGUGUGGAAUUCCUGGUGUAGCGGUGGAAUGCGUAGAGAUCAGGAAGAACACCCGUGGCGAAGGCGGCACUCUGGGCCUGUACUGACGCUGAGACGCGAAAGCGCGGGGAGCGAACAGGAUUAGAUACCCUGGUAGUCCGCGCCGUAAACGAUGGAUGCUCGGUGUUGGGGGUAUCGACCCCCUCAGCGCCUUAGGUAACCCGGUAAGCAUCCCGCCUGGGGAGUACGGCCGCAAGGUUG
rnacentral:rRNA from 1 species